AUUGAACGCUGGCGGCAGGCCUAACACAUGCAAGUCGAGCGGUAGCACAGGAGAGCUUGCUCUCCGGGUGACGAGCGGCGGACGGGUGAGUAAUGUCUGGGAAACUGCCUGAUGGAGGGGGAUAACUACUGGAAACGGUAGCUAAUACCGCAUAACGUCGCAAGACCAAAGAGGGGGACCUUCGGGCCUCUUGCCAUCAGAUGUGCCCAGAUGGGAUUAGCUAGUAGGUGGGGUAACGGCUCACCUAGGCGACGAUCCCUAGCUGGUCUGAGAGGAUGACCAGCCACACUGGAACUGAGACACGGUCCAGACUCCUACGGGAGGCAGCAGUGGGGAAUAUUGCACAAUGGGCGCAAGCCUGAUGCAGCCAUGCCGCGUGUAUGAAGAAGGCCUUCGGGUUGUAAAGUACUUUCAGCGGGGAGGAAGGUGUUGAGGUUAAUAACCUCAGCAAUUGACGUUACCCGCAGAAGAAGCACCGGCUAACUCCGUGCCAGCAGCCGCGGUAAUACGGAGGGUGCAAGCGUUAAUCGGAAUUACUGGGCGUAAAGCGCACGCAGGCGGUCUGUCAAGUCGGAUGUGAAAUCCCCGGGCUCAACCUGGGAACUGCAUUCGAAACUGGCAGGCUAGAGUCUUGUAGAGGGGGGUAGAAUUCCAGGUGUAGCGGUGAAAUGCGUAGAGAUCUGGAGGAAUACCGGUGGCGAAGGCGGCCCCCUGGACAAAGACUGACGCUCAGGUGCGAAAGCGUGGGGAGCAAACAGG
rnacentral:rRNA from 1 species